GCGUAGCUCAAUGGUAGAGCAGUUCGCUGUUAACGAAUUGGUUGUAGGUUCGAGUCCUACCGC
rnacentral:tRNA from 1 species